UUGAGCUUGAUCCCUGGCUCAGGAUGAACGCUGGCGGCGUGCUUAACACAUGCAAGUCGAACGAUGACCCGGUGCUUGCACCGGUGAUUAGUGGCGAACGGGUGAGUAACACGUGAGUAACCUGCCCUUAACUCUGGGAUAAGCCUGGGAAACUGGGUCUAAUACCGGAUAUGACUCCUCAUCGCAUGGUGGGGGGUGGAAAGCUUUAUUGUGGUUUUGGAUGGACUCGCGGCCUAUCAGCUUGUUGGUGAGGUAAUGGCUCACCAAGGCGACGACGGGUAGCCGGCCUGAGAGGGUGACCGGCCACACUGGGACUGAGACACGGCCCAGACUCCUACGGGAGGCAGCAGUGGGGAAUAUUGCACAAUGGGCGCAAGCCUGAUGCAGCGACGCCGCGUGAGGGAUGACGGCCUUCGGGUUGUAAACCUCUUUCAGUAGGGAAGAAGCGAAAGUGACGGUACCUGCAGAAGAAGCGCCGGCU
rnacentral:rRNA from 1 species